UACGAAGGGGGCUAGCGUUGCUCGGAAUCACUGGGCGUAAAGCGCACGUAGGCGGAUUGUUAAGUCAGGGGUGAAAUCCUGGAGCUCAACUCCAGAACUGCCUUUGAUACUGGCGAUCUUGAGUCCGGGAGAGGUGAGUGGAACUCCGAGUGUAGAGGUGAAAUUCGUAGAUAUUCGGAAGAACACCAGUGGCGAAGGCGGCUCACUGGCCCGGUACUGACGCUGAAAUACGAAAGCGUUGGGGAGCAAACAGGG
rnacentral:rRNA from 1 species